AAGGGGAGCCGGAUGAUCGCGUAUAGGCUGCGGGCUGCCGUUAAGGCCGCUCAAAACGUCGAUAUGAGGAAAGUCCGAACACCCCUUCGAUCUUUAUCGAUCAUGGAAGUAGGUAGUUGGUAACGCCAACCGUGUCAGCAUGCGUUUAGAGGGCUCGCUCGAGCGCUCUCGCGGCAAGCGGGCAUAGGGAAUAGUGCCACAGAGACUACACUGCCGAUGGGUUCGUCCUGCAAAGGUCUAACCACAGGCAAUAGGUGAAAAGCGUGAGGUAAGAGCUCACGGCGCGCUGCGGUGACGUAACGCGAUGGAAAACCCUACCUGGUGCAAGAGCAAGAAAUGGUUGCUCGCACGAGCUUGGUCGCGAGGCCAAGCCCAGAGAGAUGAUCAUCGCGCGGUAUUGAGAGUGCACACGUACUCAACAUGUCGCGUACAGAAUUCGGCUUACAGGCUACCCUUGGCA
rnacentral:RNase_P_RNA from 1 species